AAGGCCCAGACAGCCAGGAUGUUGGCUUAGAAGCAGCCAUCAUUUAAAGAAAGCGUAAUAGCUCACUGGUCGAGUCGGCCUGCGCGGAAGAUGUAACGGGGCUAAACCAUGCACCGAAGCUGCGGCAGCGACACUAUGUGUUGUUGGGUAGGGGAGCGUUCUGUAAGCCGUUGAAGGUGUGCUGUGAGGCAUGCUGGAGGUAUCAGAAGUGCGAAUGCUGACAUAAGUAACGAUAAAGCGGGUGAAAAGCCCGCUCGCCGGAAGACCAAGGGUUCCUGUCCAACGUUAAUCGGGGCAGGGUGAGUCGACCCCUAAGGCGAGGCCGAAAGGCGUAGUCGAUGGGAAACAGGUUAAUAUUCCUGUACUUGGUGUUACUGCGAAGGGGGGACGGAGAAGGCUAUGUUGGCCGGGCGACGGUUGUCCCGGUUUAAGCGUGUAGGCUGAUUUUCCAGGCAAAUCCGGAGAAUCAAGGCUGAGGCGUGAUGACGAGGCACUACGGUGCUGAAGCAACAAAUGCCCUGCUUCCAGGAAAAGCCUCUAAGCAUCAGGUAACAUCAAAUCGUACCCCAAACCGACACAGGUGGUCAGGUAGAGAAUACCAAGGCGCUUGAGAGAACUCGGGUGAAGGAACUAGGCAAAAUGGUGCCGUAACUUCGGGAGAAGGCACGCUGAUAUGUAGGUGAAGCGACUUGCUCGUGGAGCUGAAAUCAGUCGAAGAUACCAGCUGGCUGCAACUGUUUAUUAAAAACACAGCACUGUGCAAACACGAAAGUGGACGUAUACGGUGUGACGCCUGCCCGGUGCCGGAAGGUUAAUUGAUGGGGUCAGCCGCAAGGCGAAGCUCUUGAUCGAAGCCCCGGUAAACGGCGGCCGUAACUAUAACGGUCCUAAGGUAGCGAAAUUCCUUGUCGGGUAAGUUCCGACCUGCACGAAUGGCGUAAUGAUGGCCAGGCUGUCUCCACCCGAGACUCAGUGAAAUUGAACUCGCUGUGAAGAUGCAGUGUACCCGCGGCAAGACGGAAAGACCCCGUGAACCUUUACUAUAGCUUGACACUGAACAUUGAGCCUUGAUGUGUAGGAUAGGUGGGAGGCUUUGAAGUGUGGACGCCAGUCUGCAUGGAGCCGACCUUGAAAUACCACCCUUUAAUGUUUGAUGUUCUAACGUGGACCCGUGAUCCGGGUUGCGGACAGUGUCUGGUGGGUAGUUUGACUGGGGCGGUCUCCUCCUAAAGAGUAACGGAGGAGCACGAAGGUUGGCUAAUCCUGGUCGGACAUCAGGAGGUUAGUGCAAUGGCAUAAGCCAGCUUGACUGCGAGCGUGACGGCGCGAGCAGGUGCGAAAGCAGGUCAUAGUGAUCCGGUGGUUCUGAAUGGAAGGGCCAUCGCUCAACGGAUAAAAGGUACUCCGGGGAUAACAGGCUGAUACCGCCCAAGAGUUCAUAUCGACGGCGGUGUUUGGCACCUCGAUGUCGGCUCAUCACAUCCUGGGGCUGAAGUAGGUCCCAAGGGUAUGGCUGUUCGCCAUUUAAAGUGGUACGCGAGCUGGGUUUAGAACGUCGUGAGACAGUUCGGUCCCUAUCUGCCGUGGGCGCUGGAGAACUGAGGGGGGCUGCUCCUAGUACGAGAGGACCGGAGUGGACGCAUCACUGGUGUUCGGGUUGUCAUGCCAAUGGCACUGCCCGGUAGCUAAAUGCGGAAGAGAUAAGUGCUGAAAGCAUCUAAGCACGAAACUUGCCCCGAGAUGAGUUCUCCCUGAGACUUUAAGUCUCCUGAAGGAACGUUGAAGACGACGACGUUGAUAGGCCGGGUGUGUAAGCGCAGCGAUGCGUUGAGCUAACCGGUACUAAUGAACCGUGAGGCUUAACCUUACAACGCCGAAG
rnacentral:rRNA from 1 species